rnacentral:rRNA from 1 species
AGCAGCCGCGGUAAUUCCAGCUCCAAUAGCGUAUAUUAAAGUUGCUGCAGUUAAAAAGCUCGUAGUUGAAUUUCGGGACUAAUAUGUCGGUCGUGCCUCGGUACGUACUGGCUUAUUGGUUUCUCCUUUCUGAAGAACCAUGAUGUCAUUUAUUUGGUGUCGUGGGGAAUCAGGACUGUUACUUUGAAAAAAUUAGAGUGUUUAAAGCAGGCUCACGCUUGAAUACAUUAGCAUGGAAUAAUGAAAUAGGGCGUUUGAUUCUAUUUUGUUGGUUUCUAGGAUCGACGUAAUGAUUAAUAGGGAUAGUUGGGGGCAUUAGUAUUCAAUUGUCAGAGGUGAAAUUCUUGGAUUUAUUGAAGACUAACUACUGCGAAAGCAUUUGCCAAGGAUGUUUUCAUUAAUCAAGAACGAAAGUUAGGGGAUCGAAGACGAUCAGAUACCGUCGUAGUC